AAAUAAGGUUAAACCCGACGAGGGCUAUAGCAAGCCAAAAAAUUACUAACUAGACUUUGAAGCCUCUGUUUUAGGAUUACUCUGAAAAUUAAAGCCAGCCCUCCACCCCCAACCCCAACACACACACACACACACACACACGCAAAAACGAGGGGGUGUUUAGGCCAGAGUUUAGAAAGCUUGGUGGUUUUUUCCAAUUACAGGACUUAAAACGAAUAGACACAGGGAAAAACGGCACUACAAGAAAGCAGGAAUCUUCGGAUUUUUUCUGCUGUGGUUUGUCGACCGCUCAGCACAGAAGAGAACACACACCUAAAACAGAACAGGAAGCGCGUGGUCCGGAGGGGCGGCCAGCCGGGGGCUGCCCUGUGACUGCCUGGCUGGAGCGCAGCCUUCCCGGCCUGCCGGACAGGAAAGCGCUGCCGCGCGCGGGUGCGGAACAGCUGUGUGGCAGAGGGCGCGCCGCGCAGCGCCGCACCGCCGGUUACCAGGCCGCUCCAUUCUUUGGUUUGAAGGGUUGUUUGUGGCAGCGAUUGGUGGCUCAUAUCCGCCGGGAGAGCGGAGAGGAGGGCGGAGGAGGGACGCCGGGAGGAGGAGCCCGGCGGCCGACGCAGUGACUCCGCGGCCUGAGUGGCAGGAGCCGCGUCUGGAGUCAGGCGGUUACUCGGGAGACGCUUUGUUUGCGGACUUUGAAAGCUGUUGCUGCGGCCUCGGCCGCUUUCGAAGCGACUUCACAACACGUGUCUUAGUCGGCCGGACCGUCCCCCUCCCGCUUUCCGCCGACCGAGACAAAAAUGCUUCCUUCCUCCCCGUAGUCUUCGUUGGCCACGUGGUGGCUGUCAUUACGUACACAAAGGUAUCUUUUUCUUUGGUUAAGUGAACUUUGCUAAUUACUGCCAUUCUCAGGCAAGCGAGAUGUAAAUCGAGAACUGCGGCGAGUUUAUAGUUUGAAAACAAACGUUACGGGGAGGAGGGAGGGGCGAGGAAAAUUAAAAGCCUCUUUCCGUCUGCAAUGAGGAAAAAGUCGAGCUUUGAACUCGCUUUAGUUGGCAGUCCGGCGUGAUCCGGCAAAAGCACACCUUCUGCUCAAGCAAAUCGUAUCUAAGCAGUUUCUAAAGCUGGUGAGAUAUUCCAAACGGGAACACUAGCACGAUGCUGGUUGCAGGAAAUCCUGUCAUACUUUUGUGGAAGGUCAGAUGGAUGCGGAAGGUGGUAUAGGAUGGCGACCAGCCUCAGAUUACAAAGAUACUGAAGAUACCGGGGCCUCCUGAACACCUUAAGGUUCCACUGAAAUACUUUAAAAGAAGCCAAAAGACAAUAAAACCGUAAGAGUGUAAGAAAACGA